CAUCAACUAAAUCUAUUGUUUCUUCGUCAUUUCUUUUCUUCUAUUUCAUAUGUCGAAAGCAGCUUUCCAUGCUUCCUCUACCGUUGUUGAUGACAACAUAACCAGAGAAAACUUCAGUCUCUCAUCCAUUUUAUGAUGACAGCUUAGAUCUGUAGUUACUCUAUUUGAAUCUUUGUUUUGGGAACAAAAUCAUCUCUGAAAUCUUUGACCUAGCUUUCAAUCUGAUCGAAAAUCGAACUUCAAAUUCGAGAUUAAUGCAUCUUAAUUUCUAUUACCGAUCGAAUCUAUUUGAAUUCAUCUACUUUUAAUUUUCGAUCUCAUCGGAGGUUAUAUUGUUUUUGAUCAAUUUGUUUUAGAUCCAUUCGAAGAUUAAUUUGUUCGGAUUAUAUUAUGCAGUUUCAUUUAGAUAAUCAAGUGAAGAGGUUAUGAUGACAUUAGUCGUUACUGGAAAUUAGAAUAGGGAACAACAUUUAAGUCUAAUGACGAUACAGACGUUGCACCAAGUCAAAUGAGGUUAUUACUAGCAGCACUUGAAGUAAAUGGAGUAUUGCAAUGGAUACCACCAUCUUCCAGCUGAUAUUUUACUAACACCCAUCAUGUCCUUCACAAAAUGAGAGCUACAAGUUCAUUUUUCCGUCAUCUCAUGUAGCUUACGAUGUUGAGAUAUGUAUGCACAUCGUACAUUGGGAAUCAAAAGAUUGGGCUGUCGAGAUCUUCAAUUAGCAGUCCAUGCAUUACUAUCAAUUCUGCCAUUCGUACACAAAAAUUGCUUGAAAAGGAAAUAUAAGGGCAUCUCCUCUUUCCUGGUGGGUCUCACUAACUUCUGAUGGUAUCAUGUUCUUUUGGAAGAAGAAAUCUAAAGAACCAUUUAAUUAGUUCAGAGUUGUACAUUUGUUUAAGAUAGAACUUCUAUUUUGUGGGUACAGAGAUGUAAAUUUAGGAGUUGGACCCCACCGGUCCCAACUUUCUUUGAAGUAGUUAUUGCCGUAGUCAGUGUCCCAUUUUUGGUGAUUAACAUUUUUCUUUCAUGGGAAUAGUGGCGUUCUUCUGUAAGAUCAAGAUCAUCCUAAACAAGCAUUUGUUGUAGUUUGCAAUGGGCAGGCUUUUUCUCAUUUCAUGGAUUAGAUUAGCAGUAGCAUAGUAGGGAGGCAUAAUGUGUACAUGAUUGUACACUUAUUGAUUCUUAAUGGCACUAUAUUUUGUCUGGGAA